GGGAGGUCUUUCUGAUUCUGGCUGGUGAGCAAAACAACCAACAUCCUGCUCUUGGAUUUUAAAUCUCUAACCAGAAACUACUGAAUUAGUGCUAAAUGCAGAAUGCAGCACCUCAUUGCCUGGAGUUUAUUCUUUAUUCUUACAACUUAUGAGGCUUGGGGUGAGAUCAGGCUGAACCAGUCUCCCGCUGAGAUGAAGCGACCCGGAGAGAUGGUGAAGAUGUCCUGCACCGUAUCUGGGUUCGACAUGAGCAGCUACCAUAUUCACUGGACACGAAAGAGGGCAGGAAGCUCUAUGGAGUGGAUUGGGAGGAUGCGAGCGGGGUCAAACGCAGAGUAUUCUAGCACCUUUCAGAGCCGUUUCGUCCAGUCGUACCAUUUGCCCAGCAGCACCGCGUACCUCGACGUGAAGCGUCUGACAGCAGAAGACUCGGGUGUUUACUUCUGCGCUCGCACGUAGAGCACACACUGUGAUGCCCUGGAUUACUGGGGCGGUGGGACCAAAGUCAUGGUGUCAUCAGAAACACCUGCAGCACCAACCGUGUUCCCUUUGGUUCUGUCUUGUUCUGCGACCGGCGAUAAAGUCACUCUUGGCUGUCUCGCGCGUGACUUCUACCCACAGAGUCUUACUUUUCAAUGGAACGAUGCCAGCGGGAACAAACUGGUUUCUCAGCAAUAUCCUUCAGUGCAGACUAAUAAAAAAUACGCAGGAGUCAGUUUGAUCCAAGUGUCCAGAUCCGACGGGGAUUCAUUGUCCUACCAGUGUUCUGUGACUCAUCCUGGAGGAAACAAGAAUGUGAAUGUUAAAAGGGCCUCUUUUCCUCCGAAGGUAGCUUUGCUGUCAGUGCCGAAUGGAGAUGAGCAGGCACUGGUGUGCAUGAUUGAGGAUUUCUUCCCUGAAAGUUCGUCGAUCAAGUGGGAAAAAAAUGGCAGUGAGGUGAACGGGUAUAACGAAUGGCUCCCUAAUGAAUCACAUUCAGCUGUUAGUAUCUUAAAGGUCAAGAACAGCGAAUGGGACAGUAAAGCAGUUUACACAUGUGAGGUGACUCACUCUGGGACAAUAUAUAUGAAGAAGGCCUCAAAAGCUCCCAUCACAGUGACACUCAACCCUCCGAGUGCCAACAAAAUAUUCAACAACAACCAGGCGGAGUUGGAGUGUGUUGUCGCCGGACAAGAUGAGGCCAUCGUGAGUGAAACCAAAAUCUUCUGGCAGAUUAAUGGGGAACACGUGAGCGAUGACAUCAAGGAAACAGCUCACUCUGAGGGCAAUCAGUACAAUAAAACCAGCACACUGACUCUUAGUCGCACUGACUGGGCCAGAGUCAGGAAAGUGAGGUGUUCUGCCAUUAGAGAAGAUGUGACACCAGUGAUUCAAGAUCUGACUGUCCACAAAGGAGACGGGACAGAGCCAAAGGUGACAGUUCACAUCCUCCCCGAGGAGGACAUCGGACAAGAAGUCACUCUGGUGUGUCUGGUCUCCAGCUCCACACUGCAGGAUUACUACAUCGCCUGGUCAGAAGACAAAGGACAAAACACUGGAGUCUUUACCGAUGGCGUCAACUUCCCCCCACAGAAGACCGAAAACGGCUACUCAGUGACAAGUCUGUACACCACCACCAAGGAGAAGUGGAACGGUGACUACAAGAUCAACUGCAACGUCUGGUCUGCGGGUCGUGAUAAACCUAUGAAACCUCGAGGAGUGUCCAAGGCCAUGGGUAACCAGACUGAAUGUUAAACAGCGUUGGUUCAGCUUUUGACUGUGGUGUUUUGUGCAAAUGUGUCCCUCUGUCUCUGUGAAAACGGCAUCAGUCUUUGUGUACGUUCAAGUCACAGUGUCAUUUUGUUUCGUCGGUAGUUGUGGAGAU